rnacentral:misc_RNA from 1 species
AUCCCCAACUGUAUACUUGGCCGUCCUCUGUCAGAAUGGCACUAUGUCGAGCCCCACAAGAUACUAUUUUUGCACACUUACUUUCCAAACUUGGUGCAUCCAAUUGCAGUUGGUUGUGUCUCCGCCUGUUCAUCUCCAGUUCCAAGUUGUCCAAACUGAUUCCCACCAAAAGCAUAUACACGGCCAUUUGCAGUGAUACAAACAGUAU